GGGAUGAGGCCGGCGGUCAGAGACUCGUGGGGACAAGGCUGGCGAGGACGACUGGGGGUCAGGAGCGGGAGGUGUUAGGAGGGCCCGGGAUCCGCACGUCUUUCUUCAUGUCGGCGGCUCGCAGGGGCCGGUCUCGGCCCGCACGCAUGGAGCGGACACCUCUCGCCGGGAGCGCCCACCCCGCGGCGCCGCUCUCCCAGCGCUGCGGAAUUGGGGCCGGAGAAGGUACUUGUCCAAGGUCACAUAGCUAGAGCCUGGCAGUGACUCAGGACGGGAAUAUUCUCACCGGACUAUAAUCUCCGGGAGGGCAGCGACUUGCCUACCAGGUUUUCAGUAGCGUCAUAGGACAUAGCCCUCAGAAAAUGCUUCAUUGAUGAAAGGGUGACCGGCUCCCGGAAUAGAGCCUUUUUCACUACCCAUAAACCACCACCCUGGUUCCUUUUUGUCUGUGAUGCUUACAAAAUACAGUUUUAAACAAUGACA